rnacentral:rRNA from 2 species
ACGGGAGGCAGCAGUGGGGAAUAUUGCACAAUGGGGGAAACCCUGAUGCAGCGACGCCGCGUGGGUGAAGAAGUUUUUCGGAAUGUAAAGCCCUAUCAGCAGGGAAGAUAAUGACGGUACCUGACUAAGAAGCCCCGGCUAACUACGUGCCAGCAGCCGCGGUAAUACGUAGGGGGCAAGCGUUAUCCGGAUUUACUGGGUGUAAAGGGAGCGUAGACGGAAUAGCAAGUCUGAAGUGAAAUGUAGGGGCUCAACCCCUGAACUGCUUUGGAAACUGUUGAUCUUGAGUACCGGAGGGGCAGGCGGAAUUCCUGGUGUAGCGGUGAAAUGCGUAGAUAUCAGGAAGAACACCGGUGGCGAAGGCGGCCUGCUGGACGGUAACUGACGUUGAGGCUCGAAAGCGUGGGGAGCAAACAGGAUUAGAUACCCUGGUA